rnacentral:rRNA from 1 species
UACGUAGGGUGCAGGCGUUAAUCGGAAUUACUGGGCGUAAAGCGUGCGCAGGCGGUUUGCUAAGACAGGUGUGAAAUCCCCGGGCUUAACCUGGGAAUUGCGCUUGAAACUAGCGGGCUUGAGUGUGGCAGAGGGGGGUGGAAUUCCACGUGUAGCAGUGAAAUGCGUAGAGAUGUGGAGGAACACCGAUGGCGAAGGCAGCCCCCUGGGUCAACACUGACGCUCAUGCACGAAAGCGUGGGGAGCAAACAGG